rnacentral:rRNA from 1 species
AUGUGUUUGUUUCGUGGCCGCACCCAGCCAGACAGGUUUGUUUGUGUGUCUCUUACCAUGCCUUAUCUUAUCUCUGCUGGUUGGUUUAGAGACGUUCAGUACAACACACUACGCAGCACGCGUCCUGCCUGUAGUACCAGCGCUGCUUGGAGUGAAGCUGGGUUAUUAAAAUUCGUCUGUGAAGGUCUCGUGGCGAUCGACGUGCCGGCGACAGAGACCAUUGCUAGCACGGCGGCCGGGGCGGCGAGGCUCCCUGAGCGCAUGUCCAUCGCUUCGCUCUUAGAUGUCGUCUCUGACCACCUGCUCAAGCUCAACAACAACCUCAAAUCGAUGAGCGCCUUCCCAAGGUCACAUUCUCUUUGCUAA